CUAGACCUAUUGAAAGGGUGAGAGACUUGUUAAGGUGGCCAGUGUGCUGGAUUCUCACAGUGGCUCCCAGAGAGGGGCGGUAUGAUGAUAGGAAGGAGUAUUUGUGUCAGAUCGAUCACCCAAGCCAGCGUGCUGAACUCUACAGUGGCUCCUUGUGUUCGAACAAGUAUUUGUGUUAGAUCAAUUAUCUGUGUUUUAGACCAGAUUUACUUGGUUGUGUUGAGACCAGCUUUCCCACCAUUCCCGUGGUUCUGCUGUGGUCUCAGGAUCCCAACAAUAGACCUUGAGCUCUAUUAAAGCUAUUGAAACUACAUAUGAACUAGUCACUGUAUUCUCACUGUGUGCUGGCUGCUCUUGUGGGGCCACUUCCUAGCUACACUCUUACAUUCACCAACGUAUCCUUCUAAAGUAUCCAUGGUCAUUAAAUGUAUCCAUGAGAAAGUUGCUCAACAAGCUUUCUAACUACCUUACUACCUGUCCACUCAUCUAUCCAUCCUGCGAGCAUACACGGUUCCCAGAGUGCUUUUCCAAUGUGCUAAUGACACCAGAAAUACACAAGUAAAUAAGUCAAAGCCCAGUGAAAAAAAAUCUGCCCUCAUAAAACCCAGACCUAAAAAUAGGCUUAGAGAGGACAGGGGCAAGAGGUCCAAAGUCACCUUCAGCUACUUAAAAAUUUGGAGGCUAACCUGGGCUACAAUGACAUUUGGGUAAAACUGCUUCUGUGUAAAUUCUCCCUGGUUCCUGUAGCCAGGCCACAAGCUUUGCUAACACACAUUAGACUAGCAGACGGAAGACAGAAGAGACGUUCUCAUGGCUCACACGGAUAUACAGCAAGGCAGGAAAUGAGCUUAAGUCUAUGAGACACUGAAGUCUAAUUUCUUACCAGGAGAAACACAGAGAGAAGGGCAUGAUGGAGCACUAGGAUGAGAAAAUCAGAGGCUUCUCACUCAUGCUCGCUACCUGGCCGAGGACCACCGGGAAGACUAGGACUCUGCACCUAGCUGAAUCCUUCUCCCACCCCUCUGCAAUAAAACCCUAACUAAGAAAUCUGCUAUGCGGUGCUAUGGGCAAGGGAAAGAUGCCCUCCCCCAUCCAUUGCCCUCGCCUCCUGCAGUGGGUGGGAGAGCUGGCCCUGCCCCUCACCUGCAGCAGCAUUCAGAAGAGUGGACCCUGCACCUUAUCUGGCCAGCACCACAGGGGAUGCAGAAACACAUCAAGCCUUCUAGCCGGAUGACAAAGCUAGUUGGAGAAUGUCGGAGUCACCACCUGCGGCUUCAUCAGCCUCUCUGCUCUUCUUUCUCUUCCUACAGUUUAGAGCAUCCCUAACUUGAAUGUUAGGGAGAUUUAACAUUUUUAAAAGAUGUGUUAUUAUUUUAUGUGUGAUAAGAUAAAAUGAAAUCAAAUAAUAUAAAAUAUAGGACAUUGUAUUCCCUGGAGACGGAGCCACAGGCAGUUGUGAGCUGUGCUGUGAUGCUAAGAACUGAACCUGGGUCCUCUGAAAGAGCAGAGAGCAGAGCGUUCUCAACUGCUGAGCCCUCUCUUCAGUACAAGCCAAUUUAGUGUCUUAAAAGCCUGAAAUAAAGAUAAAUGAACAAGUAA